rnacentral:rRNA from 1 species
GUGCCAGCCGCCGCGGUAAGACGAACCGUGCGAACGUUGUUCGGAUUCACUGGGCUUAAAGGGCGCGUAGGCGGGUUACCAAGUCAGGGGUGAAAUCUUUCGGCUCAACCGGAAAAGUGCCCCUGAUACUGGUAGUCUUGAGGGAGGUAGGGGCAUGUGGAACUUCCGGUGGAGCGGUGAAAUGCGUAGAUAUCGGAAGGAACGCCGGUGGCGAAAGCGACGUGCUGGCCCUCUUCUGACGCUGAGGCGCGAAAGCCAGGGGAGCGAACGGGAUUAGAUACCCCAGUAGUCC